AGUGAACGCUGGCGGUAGGCCUAACACAUGCAAGUCGAACGGCAGCACAGUAAGAGCUUGCUCUUACGGGUGGCGAGUGGCGGACGGGUGAGGAAUACAUCGGAAUCUACUUUUUCUUGGGGGAUAACGUAGGGAAACUUACGCUAAUACCUCAUACGACCUACGGGUGAAAGCAGGGGAUCUUCGGACCUUGCGCGAUUGAAUGAGCCGAUGUCGGAUUAGCUAGUUGGCGGGGUAAAGGCCCACCAAGGCGACGAUCCGUAGCUGGUCUGAGAGGAUGAUCAGCCACACUGGAACUGAGACACGGUCCAGACUCCUACGGGAGGCAGCAGUGGGGAAUAUUGGACAAUGGGCGCAAGCCUGAUCCAGCCAUACCGCGUGGGUGAAGAAGGCCUUCGGGUUGUAAAGCCCUUUUGUUGGGAAAGAAAAGCAGCAGGUUAAUACCCCGCUGUUCUGACGGUACCCAAAGAAUAAGCACCGGCUAACUUCGUG
rnacentral:rRNA from 1 species